rnacentral:rRNA from 1 species
UGGGGAAUUUUGGACAAUGGGCGAAAGCCUGAUCCAGCAAUGCCGCGUGUGUGAAGAAGGCCUUCGGGUUGUAAAGCACUUUUGUCCGGAAAGAAAUCCUUGGCUCUAAUACAGUCGGGGGAUGACGGUACCGGAAGAAUAAGCACCGGCUAACUACGUGCCAGCAGCCGCGGUAAUACGUAGGGUGCAAGCGUUAAUCGGAAUUACUGGGCGUAAAGCGUGCGCAGGCGGUUUGCUAAGACCGAUGUGAAAUCCCCGGGCUCAACCUGGGAACUGCAUUGGUGACUGGCAGGCUAGAGUAUGGCAGAGGGGGGUAGAAUUCCACGUGUAGCAGUGAAAUGCGUAGAGAUGUGGAGGAAUACCGAUGGCGAAGGCAGCCCCCUGGGCCAAUACUGACGCUCAUGCACGAAAGCGUGGGGAGCAAACAGGAUUAGAUACCCUGGUAGUCCACGCCCUAAAACGAUGUCAACUAGUUGUUGGGGAUUCAUUUCCUUAGUAACGUAGCUAACGCGUGAAGUUGACCGCCUGGGGAGUACGGUCGCAAGAUUAAAACUUAAAUGAAUUGACGGGGUCAUAGCUGUUU